UGGGGAAUAUUGGACAAUGGGCGAAAGCCUGAUCCAGCCAUGCCGCGUGUGUGAAGAAGGUCUUCGGAUUGUAAAGCACUUUAAGUUGGGAGGAAGGGCAGUAAGCGAAUACCUUGCUGUUUUGACGUUACCAACAGAAUAAGCACCGGCUAACUCUGUGCCAGCAGCCGCGGCAAUACAGAGGGUGCAAGCGUUAAUCGGAAUUACUGGGCGUAAAGCGCGCGUAGGUGGUUCGUUAAGUUGAAUGUGAAAGCCCCGGGCUCAACCUGGGAACUGCAUCCAAAACUGGCGAGCUAGAGUAGGGCAGAGGGUGGUGGAAUUUCCUGUGUAGCGGUGAAAUGCGUAGAUAUAGGAAGGAACACCAGUGGCGAAGGCGACCACCUGGGCUCAUACUGACACUGAGGUGCGAAAGCGUGGGGAGCAAACAGG
rnacentral:rRNA from 1 species